GAUGAACGCUAGCGACAGGCUUAACACAUGCAAGUCGAGGGGCAGCGGGGAGUAGCAAUACUUCGCCGGCGACCGCGCACGGUGGAGUAACACGUGUGCAACCAACCCCGUACCGGGAGAUAACCCGACCGGAAACGUAGGACUAACAAUCCCACUGAUACUCGAGAGCCGCAUGGCUCUAGAUUUAAAAUUACCGGUGGUACGGGACGGGCACGCGCGACAUUAGGUAGUUGGCGGGGUAAGGGCCCACCAAGCCGACGAUGUCUAGGGGUUCUGAGAGGAAGGUCCCCCCACAUGGAACUGAGACACGGUCCAGACUCCUACGGGAGGCA
rnacentral:rRNA from 1 species